UACAGAGGGUGCAAGCGUUGUUCGGAAUUACUGGGCGUAAAGCGCGCGCAGGCGGUCUUCCAAGUCAGUGGUGAAAGCCCGGAGCUCAACUCCGGAACUGCCAUUGAAACUGUUAGACUUGAGGACGAGAGAGGUGAGUGGAAUUCCCAGUGUAGAGGUGAAAUUCGUAGAUAUUGGGAAGAACACCGGUGGCGAAGGCGGCUCACUGGCUCGUAUCUGACGCUCAGGCGCGACAGCGUGGGGAUCAAACAGG
rnacentral:rRNA from 1 species